rnacentral:rRNA from 1 species
ACGCUGGCGGCAGGCCUAACACAUGCAAGUCGAGCGGAUGAAGGGAGCUUGCUCCCUGAUUUAGCGGCGGACGGGUGAGUAAUGCCUAGGAAUCUGCCUGGUAGUGGGGGAUAACGUUCCGAAAGGAACGCUAAUACCGCAUACGUCCUACGGGAGAAAGCAGGGGACCUUCGGGCCUUGCGCUAUCAGAUGAGCCUAGGUCGGAUUAGCUAGUUGGUGAGGUAAUGGCUCACCAAGGCGACGAUCCGUAACUGGUCUGAGAGGAUGAUCAGUCACACUGGAACUGAGACACGGUCCAGACUCCUACGGGAGGCAGCAGUGGGGAAUAUUGGACAAUGGGCGAAAGCCUGAUCCAGCCAUGCCGCGUGUGUGAAGAAGGUCUUCGGAUUGUAAAGCACUUUAAGUUGGGAGGAAGGGCAGUAAGCUAAUACCUUGCUGUUUUGACGUUACCGACAGAAUAAGCACCGGCUAACUUCGUGCCAGCAGCCGCGGUAAUACGAAGGGUGCAAGCGUUAAUCGGAAUUACUGGGCGUAAAGCGCGCGUAGGUGGUUCGUUAAGUUGGAUGUGAAAGCCCCGGGCUCAACCUGGGAACUGCAUCCAAAACUGGCGAGCUAGAGUACGGUAGAGGGUGGUGGAAUUUCCUGUGUAGCGGUGAAAUGCGUAGAUAUAGGAAGGAACACCAGUGGCGAAGGCGACCACCUGGACUGAUACUGACACUGAGGUGCGAAAGCGUGGGGAGC